UGAGAGGAGCAUUAUCCAACCUUCUGC
rnacentral:piRNA from 1 species